rnacentral:rRNA from 1 species
AUGCAGAAACCUGCUUCCGUCCAUUUUACGACCGUCCGCUACUUGCCAUCCCUAGCUUUCGCCGCCGACCACAGAAUCACGGAUAGAGUUACCGCUGUCAGCACUCUGACAGCCGUCGAGGAGAAGCUCCGCCCACCAUCUCAAACUGGGUCUCAUCGCUUGUUUGAUAUGGAAAAGUUCUGCCAGCCCGCUGCAGAGACAAACUCCAUCGUCCCAUCGGAGACUGCCUCCCCAUGGUCGUGGGAGGUCCUCGUCGGAGCUCAUGGUGGUGGAGUUGGCGACGAGGAGGCAUUCCAGAGGCGGGCCUCAUCCUUGGCGGCGGGAGGUGCGCGUUGCUGGCAGGGCAGCGGCCGGCACGGGCGAGGGAGAGUGUGGUCGCCGGCGCAGGCGAGGCAGGGCGUGGUGGUCGGCGCACACAGGCGAGGGGCGGCGUGGUGGUCGGCACAGGCAAGGGGCCGCGUGGCGGCGGCCAUGGGCAAGGGCCGGCGUGGUGCGGCGGCGUGGAUCCGGCCACGGCGGGCGUGGCUCGUCGGCUGCAGGUGGUGCACGGCGUCGGCCGGAGGAGGUGUCAUCACAGUUCCAGGCAAAGGGCUCGAGAUCGAGCUCCUGCCAUGGCGGGAUGGAACCAUCUGCGCCGUCACGAGGACUCCACAGAAGGACUCCUCGUUGAGGCCAUCUGAUCUUCUAUCAACAAACUUGUGGCAAGUCAGUACCAGCAUCUAUCAAACCAGUGCGUACUUGCUCUUGUGCUACCGCAGUUACAGGAAUUUGCUGCUCAUCUUGCAUGAAACCUUCUUCUCCGUUGUCUGCUCACUUGCUCCUCGCUCGCUCAACUCUCGCUCUCUUCUCGCUCUCGCUCUAUUCUUGGUCGCCGCAUCCGUCGCUGCCGCGCCGCGCUGCUGCCGCAGUGCCAUGGUGUCGUGGACUGAUGGGUCGGAUAGCAACGAGCACACCGGGGAGUACAUGAGCUCAGCUUCCGACGACGGCACCAUUAAGGUUCCUGCAAGCACCGAAGACUCAGAUUUUGAGGGCCUUGAGACAUAUAUGUAUGUUUUGUGCCAUGGACACGGGAAGGCAUCAGAGAGGCGUGUUGCUUUCGAAGGGAUCCACACUGGCAGGAGGUUUCUUUGUUGUGCAGAGAAGGAAGGUAAAAACCGUGGACUAGUAGAAUGGAUUGAUCCAUCUUGGCCCAAUACCCUUGAAAAUGCACUGUCCAAGUUAUGGUCUAUUGUCAUUCGGAACAAGAAGUUGAAGCUAACUGAAGAGAGGAAGAAUUUGCAGAUCCACAUUGAUGAGCUCAACAAGACAAUUGAAGAGAGCAAUGUGAAGAUGGAGGGGGUCAAGGACAUCAUAAAUGGAUAA